rnacentral:rRNA from 1 species
UACGUAGGUGACGAGCGUUAUCCGGAAUACUGGGCGUAAAGCGCACGCAAGCGGUCUGACAAGUCUGGCGUGAAAUCCUCUGGCUUAACCAGGGGCGGUCGCUGGAGACUGUUGGGCUUGAGGCGAUGAGAGGGGUGCAGAAUUCCUGGUGUAGCGGUGGAAAUGCGCAGAGUAUCAGGAGGAACACCUAUAGCGAAGGCAGCUUGCUGGGACGUUACUGACGCUAAGGCGCGAAAGCGUGGGGAGCGAACAGG